AGCUGGUUAGAUCUUUGGUAGAGAUCGCUAGUCUCAUAAGCUAGAAAGAGGCAGGUUAGAUUCCUGCACAAGCUUCCA
rnacentral:tRNA from 1 species